rnacentral:rRNA from 1 species
UGAACGCUAGCGGCAGGCUUAACACAUGCAAGUCGAGGGGCAGCAUGAGACGGAGAUUCGUCGAAGUCUUGAUGGCGACCGGCGCAAGGGUGCGUAACGCGUGAGCAACUUGCCCGUUUCUGGGGAAUAACCGGUGGAAACGCCGACUAAUACCCCAUAGUAUUGAUCAGAGGCAUCUCUGUUCAAUUAAAGAAUUUCGGAAACGGAUAGGCUCGCGUGACAUUAGCUAGAUGGCGGGGUAACGGCCCACCAUGGCGACGAUGUCUAGGGGUUCUGAGAGGAAGGUCCCCCACACUGGAACUGAGACACGGUCCAGACUCCUACGGGAGGCAGCAGUGAGGAAUAUUGGUCAAUGGUCUGACGACUGAACCAGCCAUGCCGCGUGAAGGUCACGGCCCUACGGGUCUUAAACUUCUUUUGUAAGGGAGCAAUAAGGUCUACGUGUAGACUGAUGAGAGUACCUUACGAAUAAGCAUCGGCUAACUCCGUG